GCCUAAGGUAGGACUGGUGACUGGGGUGAAGUCGUAACAAGGUAGCCGUACCGGAAGGUGUGGCUGGAUCACCUCCUUUUAGGGAGACCUACCCAUUGAAGAAUCGAAAGCCGCAGGCGAAUAGAGAAUCAAAUGGUCUACUCUAGGUCGAUGACGUGAGAUUGUGAAGUCUUUCAAACUAAUAUUUGGUUCGCGGGCUAUUAGCUCAGGUGGUUAGAGCGCACCCCUGAUAAGGGUGAGGUCCCUGGUUCGAGUCCAGGAUGGCCCACCUGGGGGUUUAGCUCAGUUGGUAGAGCGCCUGCUUUGCAAGCAGGAUGUCAGCGGUUCGAGUCCGCUAACCUCCACAUUAGGUAUUAUCAGCAACUAGGAAAGACCUA
rnacentral:misc_RNA from 1 species